rnacentral:tRNA from 1 species
GUCUAUGUAGAUUAAUAAAAUCGUGAUGCUGUUAACUUCAAGAUGGGAUGCGUUCCCAUAGUCG